rnacentral:rRNA from 1 species
UUUACUUAGUGGCGCACGGGUGAGUAACACGUAGGCAACCUGUCCUUAAGAGGGGGAUAACUCAGGGAAACUUGAGCUAAUACCGCAUAAGACCACGAACUGGGAUGUUAGUGGUAAAAGGUCGAUUUGAAAGAGUUGGCUGUUUAAGGAGGGGCUUGCGGCCUAUCAGGUAGUUGGUGAGGUAAUGGCUCACCAAGCCUAAGACGGGUAGCCGGUCUGAGAGGACGGACGGCCACACUGGGACUGAGACACGGCCCAGACUCCUACGGGAGGCAGCAGUGGGGAAUCUUCCGCAAUGGGCGAAAGCCUGACGGAGCGACACCGCGUGGGGGACGAAGGUCUUCGG